AAUCAACGCUGGCGGCGCGCUUAACACAUGCAAGUCGAACGAGAAAGGGGGAGCGAUCCCCGAGUACAGUGGCGCACUGGUGAGUAACACGUGGAUAUCUACCUUCCGGUGGGGAAUAACCUGGGGAAACCCGGGACUAAUACCGCAUACGCUUGGGAAAGGAAAGCCCGCGAGGGCGCCGGGAGAGGAGUCCGCGGUCGAUUAGCUGGUUGGCGGGGUAAAGGCCCACCAAGGCGAAGAUCGAUAGCCGGCCNGAGAGGGCACACGGCCACACUGGCACUGAAACACGGGCCAGACUCCUACGGGAGGCAGCAGUGGGGAAUCUUGCACAAUGGGGGAAACCCUGAUGCAGCGACGCCGCGUGAGCGACGAAGCCCCUCGGGGUGUAAAGCUCUUUCGGCAGGAACGAUGAUGACGGUACCUGCAGAAGAAGCUGCGGCUAACUACGUGCCAGCCGCCGCCGUAAU
rnacentral:rRNA from 1 species